rnacentral:lncRNA from 1 species
CUAUAUUAGUUAGAAGUGAGGAAUUCAAUUUGUGCUCGCCACUUGCAUCAUGGCUUUGAGGAUAUCAGCUGAACAGAAUAUACAAGUGCAUUCAACCACAGAUUUAAAUCCAACCGCUCCCGCUUCAAAAGGUAUGUUUCGGCAUUUUGUUUUCUAGUAAUUUCUGGCGACUAUUUAUUUUGAGAAUGAUAUGGAGAGGAUACAAAUGUACUGGUGGAUGUUGGGCUAUGCCGGUGUGCAUUUGGCAGUUGUUCCAUUGUUGGAGGUCCUCUUCCUGCUCUCUCCUCUCCAAAUUGGCUCAAGAUGCUGCUCCUCUUUGGAAGGAGCGAAUCAGGAGACUUUUCGAAGGGCCGGACUCUUCCGUCGACUCUGUUCUUGCGGAUUUUAAGCGUGUAGAUGGACUUUGUUGAUGUUAGAACGGAAACUGCAAGCUUGGCCUGCAACCUUACUGGGAAAUCAGUCUGCUCAAGGCGUGCGGGACUUGUACCUCGAUUGGCCCUCCAAUCUUUAAAAGUCUCAAAUUUUUAUUUUAAUGUCACCGUCCAAGGGUCCGAUAUUGGCAAGUGAUAGUCCAUGGAUGACGGGUGGAGAAAAAGCAUGA